UCUGGUCCUUAAAGAGUAUGAAGUUUAUGGAGAUGCUGUUCUUGGAAUGUAUGGAAAGAAACCAACUGUGCGUGAUGUGGCGAAGCCUUUCCUUGGUCUUUUCCAUUCAGAGCCUGGAAAGGGUUUGUGGAAGCGGAAAGCUGAUGCAGCUUUCCAGCAUUGCACUACGAUCAAGUCUUUCUUUGAGGAGACACUCGAUGCAAUUCCCAACUCUGUGUUGGACGCACCUAUUGCGGAGGUUCCGUCCGGUUCAGAAAACCCUUUCGCUAAU